rnacentral:lncRNA from 1 species
AGUAUAUUAAAAAUAAUGCUGAAGACGGAAGCUUUGGAAAAUGGAUAGAAGUUAGGUCAAGCUUCAAGUCCCAUCUUUAUUCUAUUCCUGACUAGGACAAAUCACCUCCGCUCUCCUUUGUCGCUUACCAAGCAUCAAAUGAAGACAGCAGAGUUCGCCCAGACAUGCACAAUAAUGUAUAAAACAAGAAAGCGCUUACCAGCACCUUUUUGA